UGAUGCGCAGAAACCUAUAAGAGGCUGUGCAGAAACAGCUAGAGAUUGAUAGAUGACACAGAGGUGUUGGUUUCCGGUUGUUUGCUUGAUCUUUGCAGAAAGAGUAGAUAAUUCUGGAGCUUUUCGGAAUUGAAAGAGGACGAACACAGUAUUAAAACAAAUUGCUUGAUCUGUCUGGUUUUGGAGGUACAGAGCUGGGUUGCUUUUAAUCGGUGGUACUGGUCUACAUAUCAUUUGUGUUACCUCUUGAGAAGCUACAUAGGUUUGGUUAGAAGCUGAGGUUUUUCCGUGCGGUCCCAGUCUUGGUCUCUUUGUGUCCGGUUGCUGCUGGGUUCUGAAGAUCUUUGUUAGCAAAACGAAUAUCAAUAGAUAUGGAAACUUGCUCGAACGCGGUGUCAGGUGGAAUUUUCUAUCUUAUUUCUUGGUUUAUGACAGAGUGGGCCGAGUUUUCAUUUCUUUGGAUUUGUUAUGUGCAUUAGUGCAACUGGCCCAACGGCAUUCAAAUCUGUUCUUGAGGGCAAUGAGGAGAAAUUGAGAUGAGGCCAGUUAAAGUACGGGACAUCCAACCACUGAAGAAAAACUUAUCGAUCAAGGAUUGGGUGUGUUAUGGAGAUUAAAAUAAAGAUAAAGCAGGCUAUAUAUUUUACGGAACAACAUUCUGAUCGAUGAAGGUUCAGUACGUGAAAUCCAAUCACCCUUUCAUGGUCCUGUCACAACUAUACAUUUUGAUGAAAGAGGCUUUACGCUGUAUGUUGGUACUUUUAACAAUUGUAAACCCCGCAGCAAAGUGCGGACAUACUUUCUAGUAUGCAUUAAUUACAAGAAUCUCACACAUAUAUAUUGCCUGAGA